ACAUGCAGGCAUUGAAGAUAGCACAAGAGGUUUUGUGCCUCUCAAUUUCAUCAAGUGUGCCAAAAGAUUCGUUCAACACUUGAAGUAUUUCUUUCGACUAAGCAUCCACAAAUUUGUGACUGAACUCAUCAUUCAUAGCCACUCUCAUAAUGCAACGCAUUGUGGUGCAGUCAUUGAGCCACUUCUGAUAAGUAUCUCUGAUCGCACCAUA
rnacentral:lncRNA from 1 species